GAGGAAAAAGAAACCAACAGGGAUUGCCUUAGUAGCGGCGAGUGAAGCGGCAAAGCUCAAAUUUGAAAUCUGGCUCUUUCAGAGUCCGAGUUGUAAUUUGAAGAAGGUAUCUUUGGGUCUGGCUCUUGUCUAUGUUUCUUGGAACAGAACGUCACAGAGGGUGAGAAUCCCGUGCGAUGAGAUGAUCCAGGCCUAUGUAAAGUUCCUUCGAAGAGUCGAGUUGUUUGGGAAUGCAGCUCUAAGUGGGUGGUAAAUUCCAUCUAAAGCUAAAUAUUGGCGAGAGACCGAUAGCGAACAAGUACAGUGAUGGAAAGAUGAAAAGAACUUUGAAAAGAGAGUGAAAAAGUACGUGAAAUUGUUGAAAGGGAAGGGCUUGAGAUCAGACUUGGUAUUUUGUAUGUUACUUCUUCGGGGGUGGCCUCUACAGUUUAUCGGGCCAGCAUCAGUUUGGGCGGUAGGAGAAUUGCGUUGGAAUGUGGCACGGCUUCGGUUGUGUGUUAUAGCCUUCGUCGAUACUGCCAGCCUAGACUGAGGACUGCGGUUUAUACCUAGGAUGUUGGCAUAAUGAUCUUAAGUCGCCCG
rnacentral:rRNA from 1 species